rnacentral:lncRNA from 1 species
AGUGGACCAGUUAGUAAAUUGUUUUGCAAGUAUAAUAUUUCAAGACGAGUCAACGUUGCAAUUGAAUAGGGGAGUGGACCAGUGAAAUUGUUAGUGUCAAAAGCUAAAAAAGAUAGCUCUGAGAAGUUGGAAAAUAUGUUUGGAAUCAAGCCUUCAAAAUUAUUGGAAGAAAGAGAUAAGGAGUGAAGUUUGUUGAGCUUUCCGAUAGUUGAGGGAACAUUUCCGGUGAAGAUGUUCAUUGAAAGAUCCAAACUUCUAAUUCUAGUGAGAUUGCCAAAAGAUUCUGGAAUCGAGCCUUGAAAAUCGUUGUAAGAGAGAUCUAAAUGAUCGAGUUUGUUUAAUUUUGAGAUAGUUGAGAGAACAUUACCAUUUAAGUUGUUAAAUGAAAGUUUCAACACUCUAAUUCUAGUGAGAUUGCCAAAAGAUGCGUCAAACUACUGAGUUCACUAAUACUAUUUCCAAGUGGAAAGUCAUUCAAGUAGUUGAAGGUAAGGUUGAGUCUUUGGAGAUGAACAAGUUUUGUGAGGCUAUUAUUAGCAUAGAUGGUUCCACUAAGAAAGUUGCAAGAAAGAUCGAGGCCUAUGACAUGACCCGUAAAUCCAUUGCAAGUAACACCAUCCCAUUCACAACAAUCUCCUGUAACAUUCCAGGACAAAGUCUUGGCUUGGGCUUUGCUGUCACAACCAUUGUAAUAAUCAUUUCGACCAACGAUGAGGCCUUGCUUAAAUUCAAGCAAAUAAAAAGCUUCAUCACGGGCACAAAGAUGUUUCCCAGCAUAUGUAAGCUGAGAUUGAUGGACAAAAAGUAUAAAAUGUGCAUACAAACAGAAAGCUAUUAGCAAUUGUUGGUACUCCAUUCUCUAUAUCUAACUAGCUACGAACUUGUACUCCAUCUUUAUAUAGCAGUAGAGGUCAAACGUGUUACACAUGCACAUUCUUAGAACUAGUUUUUAUACAUACAGUGUGAUCGAUAAUGCAUUAUUGUUGUUCACCCAACUCAAUUAACACAAUUUCCUCCUUUAUUUAGUCAAACAACUUUACUACCACUAAUACAAUUUUUAUAUUUUUUUCAAAAAUUUUACUACCACAACUACAAGUUUAAUAUUUUUUUUUCAAAAACUUUACUUCCACUAAUAUUAUUUUAAUAUUUUUUUCAAAAAAUUUACUACCACUAAUACAAUUUCAAAAACUUUACUACCACUCUACAAUUUUAAUAUUUUUUUCAAAAACUUUACUACCACUACUACAAUUUUAAUAUUUUUUUCAAAACUUUACUGCCACUAAUAUUAUUUUAAUAUUUUGGGUGAAAGUUGGUAAAUUGUGGCUUUAACGAGUAGGUAAUAUCUCAGAUGGUCACUCAACUAUUGAUUGUUUUCUCAGAAAGUCAAUUAACUUUGGUUGUUAACUCAAAAGUCACUCAACUAUUGAUUCUUUUCUUAGAAAGUCACUCAACUUUGGUUUUUAACUCAAAAGUCACUCAACUAUGAUUUCUUUUCUCAGAAAGUCAUUCACCUAUGCGUUCUUUUUUUAGAAAGUCACUCAACCUAUUUAAUUAAUUUUUUUAAUUAAAAUUUACUUACAUGAAAUUUUUAUUUCUAACUAAAAUUGUAAAAAGAUGACCCACCUACUUGACUCGAUCCACUAAAAAUAUAAUAGUGAUCCUUUUAUUUUACCUUUCCCCCCAAAUAUAAUAGUUAGCAUUAAUUAUUUUAAGAACCUUUAAAUUCCAUGAGUUUUAUUAUUAUUUUCUACACUACUUUUAACACGUAUUUAUAGGAACAUUAUUCCAGUUUUUAAAAAAAUAAUUAAGUAUAGUAUAUUGACGGUGAUAUUGGAUAUUUUUAAGCAUAAUAUAAUUGGCAGUACAAAUGGAUACUUUUUUAUUGAUUUUUUAUUUUUGCUUAGGAAUAAAAAUUUCAUUAAAGUAAAUUUUAAUUAAAAAAAUUAUUUGAAUAGGUUGAGUGACUUUGUAAGUAAAAUACUCAUAAUUGAGUGACUUUUGAGUUAAAAUUCAAAGUCGAAUGACUUUUUGAGAAAAAAAUCUAUAGUUGAGUGACUUUAUGAGAAAAUAAUUCAUAGUUAAGUGACUUUUGAGUUAAAAAUCAAAAUUGAGUGACUUUCAGAGAAAAGAAUUAGUUGAGUGAUCACCUGAGAUAUUAAUUCCUUUAAUGGGUGCCGGGUCACGGAGACCUCGAAUCCAUAUUUCGAUGAUUCCAUUGAGUCCGAAACGUCGAGUUUAGUUGGGUAGUAGUUUGUGUGCUCGGGAUUCCAAGGGUCCAUUGGGUGAAUGUUUUUAUGCCUUGGUAUUUGCUGUUUGCUGUCUUCUGGUGCCUCCUUCGCGUUGGUGGAGCUUGGCCGCGAUCGUGGAGGGUCAGAGUGGCUGCGUUCGUGAAGGGUUAUUCCGUCUGGUCUCCGCGAUUGCGAAGACCAAAUGGCUUGGCAGUUUAAUGAAAUUUCCCAAUUUGGGUUUCUUCCCCAUUUUUCCAUUUUUGGACCUUGGAAGCUUGGAGUAGGCGAUUUUAAGAAAUAACGUUUGGGUAAGUGAUUUCAACCCCAAUCCUCCAUUACCCAUUUAGUUCUUCAUGAAUUCAACAUCAAAUCCUCAUUUUUGAAUUCAAACUUUGAGGGCCUUUUCAUGAAAAAUGGUGUUUUUAUGUCUAAAGCCUAUUUUUGUUUAGACAUCCAUCCAUCCAUCCAAAAACAGAGUGCAGAGGUAGCUAUGUCUAAAGCUUAUUUUUCUUUGACGUCUCUUGUUUUGCCUUCUUUGCUUCUGAGCAGCAAUAUCUACAGAAAGGCUAAAGUGACAUAGACUUUCAUACUAUAAGCAAAAAACAAUGGUUCAACUAACAAAAAAAAUUACAUUUGUUGUAUCUUCUCCUUAUGCUAGGAAGUUGUCCCUUAUCUAGUAGAAAUAGUCUAUUCCCCUCUUUAGGAAAUUGAUGAAAAAAAUAAUAGAAGGUACCACUUCCACUUGAAGAGGCCUGUUUAGCAAAGAAGUCAACUAUUUGUUGGCUUCUCUAUAGCUGUGAGAAAUAUAGUAUUUUUAGUUACUGUGAUUAUUUUGAAGGAAUUUUUCUAGAGUAUAUAUUUUUGAAAUUUCUCAUUUUCCUGCGCUAGUUGUUGAUUACAUCUUUGUUGUAACUUUUUCUCUUUUAUAUGUACAAAGAUAUAUUCUUAUCUGGGACUUUUGGCUUCAUUUUUGUGUGGCUCAAUUUGAAUUUGUUGGUAGGGUUUAGCUUCCUUUGUAGAGUAAAAAAAUGGCCCCAAAUAGAGUGAGAUAGAUAUUAGUUGUGGAACAAGCAAUACAACACAAUACAUUAUAAUACAAACAGAAUGCAGAGGUUGCUACGUCUAAAGCUUAUUUAUUAUUUUCCACAAAACUAUAGAAAUCAACUUUAACAGAUGCAUCCAUUGCUAAUAAACUUGUCCAACUCUCUAGCAACCUCUGCACACACAAAUUGAGAUUUUGAAUAUUUAGGAAAAAAUAAACAAUUGACAUAUAGUUAUCCAAUAAACAGCUACAAAAAGUUUUGAUGCAACCUUGUAUAUUGCUAGUUCAUUCUUAAACCACGUGUUUGACGUCUCUUCUUUUGCCUUGUUCGCUUCUUAGCAGCAAUUUGUUGAGCAAUAUCUUCAGCAAAGUUCGAAAACCAUUUUGGUUUUUCCAGUAGGAACAUGAGGCCUCCAUCAACAAUCCAAAAUGGGGAACAUGUCAUUUAUCUUGUGUUGUUCCCCAAAUCAAGAGCUACCAAGUUUGUACAGUUAACCAAGGAUCGUGGGAUCCCCCCCUCCCACCCAAUUGAUUGCCAUACACACCAAGAUAUUGUAACCUUGUAGGUAAGAAUCUUGGUAUCUCUCCAUGAAAAUUGUUCAUUCGCAAGUCUAAAAUAGAAAUAAACCUAUUGGAGUUACCCAAACAGUCUGGGAUUGAACCACUGAAAUUGUUCCGAGCCAAAAUGAGAACUUUUAGGUUAAUAAAGUCACAAAUAGAAUGAUGCAAAGGCCCUUGAAAAAAAUUGUUCUCCAAAUUAAGUGACACCAAAUUCAUUGAACGCCAUACUUGUUUUGGCAAUAAUUUAUUUGAGGUGGUGGAGGCAUCAUUUGAGUUACCUAAGAAUUCUUUGUAAUUGCUCUUGAGCUCAUUUGGUAAUUUCCCAGUUAAUUGAUUGUGUUGAACAGAUAACCAAGGGGGUGUUGCACCAGUGAAAUAAUUAAAUGACAAAUCAAGUAGUUGUAGCUCUUGAAGUCCGCUUAUAUUAGAGGGAAGUGGACCAGUUAGUAAAUUGUUUUGCAACUCUAAGAUUCGAAGGUAAGUCAAGGUUGCAACCGAAUAGGGGAAUGAGCCAGUGAAAUUGUUAGUGUCAAAAGCUAAAAAGUAUAGCUCUGAAAAGUUGGCGAAGAUGUCUGGAAUCGAGCCUUCAAAAUUAUUGGAAAAGAGAAAUAAGUUGUUAAGAUUGUUCAUCUUUCCGAUAGUUGAGGGAACAUUUCCAGUGAAGCUGUUAAUUGAAAGCGUCAACUCUCUAAUUGCAGUGAGGUUGCCAAUGGAUUCCGAAAUCGAGCCUCGAAAAUGGUUGAAAGAGAGAUCUAAAUUAACGAGUUUGUUUAAUUUUGAGAUAGUUGAGGGAACAUUACCAGUGAAGUUGUUACUUGAAAGUAUCAACUCUCUGAUUGCAGUGAGGUUGCCAAUGGAUUCUGGAAUCGAGCCAGAUAAAUGGCAAUUCAAGAGGUCCAAAUGCCAAUGAGAAUGGAGAUUACCAACUGAAUCAGGUAUCUUCCCAAAAAUACCAGUACGGGAGAAGUCCAACUCUAAAAUACUUCCACCGAAACUCCAAUUAAAAUUCGGCAAAGUGCCUGUUAAUAAAGGAUUUGAUCCCAAUCUCAGCACUUGCAAGUUUGGUAGAUGAAAAAUUUGAGAAUCACUCAUGUUCCCAAACAUAUUUGUGCCUUGAAGACUUAAGUACCUUAGGGAAGAAGAGAAAUUCUUAGGUAACUUGAAUGGUAUGUUCACGAAGUCUAACAACAAAAUCUCUAAGUUGGUUAAGUUGUGCGGCAAACUUGUGAAGGUUGUUCGGCCAAAUUGGAUGUAAUUCCAGGAGAGGUCAAGUGAAAUCAGCUUAGACAACUCUUGCAUAAUCCUGAUGGGAUCUGCAUCUCCCUUUCAUUAAAUAUUCCAGAAUCCGAAAGAUUGAGAUGCGUCAAACUACUGAGUUCACUAAUACUAUUUCCAAGUGGAAAGUGUUAUCUCCUGUAUUUAGGUUAGUCAAAAAUACAGAAACAAAAAAAGAUGAAAUAGACAGAAUGAAUUUUAAUCCGAGUCCACAGAAACCACUGUGUUUCCUUAAGAAAUUUAAUCCCCUCACUGUACCCGAGGUUGUAGAUUAAUUCCUCCCAAGAUAAAACGGAUUAACCUGUUAAAGAAGUAGCGGUAUCUCAAACUUCAAUAACUUCAGCGAACGCAAGAAUAGUAACAAGAGCACACACAGACUCAGUCGAUCGACAAUUUUAUUUAUGCAAGAAAAUGUAUGCAGAGAGGAAAAUUUUUUCAGUCUUUGAAAAAACGAAAAAUCCUCUUAUUUAUAGCCAUUUACAGCAAGGAACGCGUCUNNNNNNNNNNNNNNNNNNNNNNNNNNNNNNNNNNNNNNNNNNNNNNNNNNNNNNNNNNNNNNNNNNNNNNNNNNNNNNNNNNNNNNNNNNNNNNNNNNNNNNNNNNNNNNNNNNNNNNNNNNNNNNNNNNNNNNNNNNNNNNNNNNNNNNNNNNNNNNNNNNNNNNNNNNNNNNNNNNNNNNNNNNNNNNNNNNNNNNNNNNNNNNNNNNNNNNNNNNNNNNNNNNNNNNNNNNNNNNNNNNNNNNNNNNNNNNNNNNNNNNNNNNNNNNNNNNNNNNNNNNNNNNNNNNNNNNNNNNNNNNNNNNNNNNNNNNNNNNNNAUGAAAAACUUGUGUGUCUUGUAAGUAAGGGUUAAUCGCAUUUGAAUAAGUAGGUUUCCCCUUAAACUUUUCGUUGUGAACAUAUAUCGGAUAUACUCGGUCAAUCGGUAGAUUUGAUAUCUUUGAACCGUCGAGCUUUAGUGUAUACCUAGACAACAUAAGUCACACAAUCAACCCUUGAACUGUUUUUGGUUCUCAUUGUUUUGUUCGUUUCAGCCAUGAACACAUCUCGGUUAAUAAGUGCUUAAAGAACUGGCCUUACCGGAUUUUCCUUGAAGCGGCUUACACUUCACACUUACAUAGGUGGUUUCUAACUGUGUUAUCCCGUAGAUACACUAUUUGAUAUACCCUGUAUCAAACUUAGAAACCAUUAAAAAGUCCUUAUGCCUUUAUCCUGGUUACUGAACAUUGUCUCAUCAUGAGAAUGGACAUAAAAUAAAUUUUGACAAUGUUGAACCGUCAUUUAUGACUUUGUUUUAUCUCCUUGAACCUAGAUCUUGGGAUCUCCAGUCUUCUAGGUAGAGUUACCGUCACGAUGACUUGUUCUCGGCCAUAGUCCCCAUUCCCGUCGAUGAUCUCUCAACUCCCUCUCUAGUUAGGCCUUUUGUAAGUGGAUCCGACACAUUAUCCUUUGACUUUACAUAGUCAAUUGUGAUAAUUCCACUAGAGAGUAGUUGUCUAACAGAGUUAUGUCUUCGUCUUAUGUGACGAGACUUCCCGUUAUACAUAACGCUUCCAGCCCUUCCUAUUGCAGCUUGACUAUCGCAGUGUAUGCAUAUAGGGGCCAUUGGUUUGGGCCAAAACGGAAUAUCUUCUAAGAAAUUCCGGAGCCAUUCAGCUUCUUCACCUGCCUUGUCUAAGGCGAUGAAUUCUGACUCCAUUGUAGAGCGAGCUAUACAUGUUUGUUUGGAUGAUUUCCAAGAUAUUGCUCCUCCACCACUAGUGAAAACAUAUCCACUCGUGGAUUUGGUUUCAGUUGACCCAGUAAUCCAAUUUGCAUCACUAUAUCCUUCAAGAACUGCUGGAUAUUUGUUGUAAUGCAAAGCAUAGUUUUGAGUGUCUUUUAAGUACCCCAAAACUCUCUUCAUUGCCAACCAAUGAUUUUGAUUGGGAUUACUUGUGUAUCGACUCAGUUUACUUAUAGCGCAGGCUAUGUCUGGUCGUGUACAAUUCAUGACAUACAUCAAACUUCCCAAUACUCUGGCGUAAUCCAAUUGAGACUGACUUUCACCUUUAUUCUUAGCAAGAUUAAGGUUCACAUCAAUUGGGGUCUUUGCCUUUUUGAAAUUCAAAUACUUGAACUUUUCAAGUACCUUUUGAAUAUAAUGAGAUUGAGACAAUGCUAGACCGUUAGGAGUUUUGUGAAUCUUUAUUCCCAAUAUUAAAUCGGCUACUCCUAAAUCUUUCAUAUCAAACUUACUAGCAAGCAUACGCUUAGUAGCUUUUAUAUUGGCAGGGGUUUAAUUAAAGGGUAGAUUCAUUUAUUUAAAGUUUGAAAAGACAUAUUCCAAAGUUUAUGAUCCAUACUUAUCAAAAGAAUGUUAGUCGAUUAGCUGCCUAUAUUUGACUCUAAUUCAUCACACAUAUAUAUGUCAAUUAUAUUGGUCCCUUAAUCAUUAUAAUUUCUAUACAUGCACGGUGGUGGUGUGUUCGUGUAUUGAUUUAUUUUAUUUGGUGUUUGAUAUGUAUUUUUGAAAUAAUUUACAUUACAUAAGAUCUUUUAUGCAAGGGAGCACUUCUUAUGAAUAUAUUCUUAAUUCUAAUAUUUUGAAGUUAUUGCGUUCUAAAUAAUAAUUUGUAUAUAUUCAAUAAAUUCUUAAAAUAAAUAUAAUAUUUGAACCAAAGUUACUGAGUUCAGAUGAUUUGAUUUAAUAAAAUUUGAAGCAAAUUAAGACUUUUAUGUCGAUGGAGCUAGUGUGUUAGUAGAUGCAUAAUUUUUUUUUCAAUUCGGUAUUUGGAGUCCCGACUAAAUUUGGAUUGCGCACUGCAUGACUCAUUUAGAGGUGACAUUUCUAAUAGGAUUUUCUGCAUACCAGAACUUGAACCCGAAACUUCUGAUUAAGGAUAAAGCAGUCUCAUCAUUGCUCCACAACCAUAUUGAUUUAGUAAAUGCAUAUUCAUCAUAAUGGAUGUACAUAACUCUAAUUGAAAGGAAUUAUUUUUAUAUCUUUUUCUAUACUAUUGUUGUUAAAGUUAUUAAGUAUGGUUUAUCUUGACGCAAAGCCGUUUUAAGAAUAGACCAAAUUGAACGUUUGCCACUGUUAGAAGUUGAUGUUUUGACAAACUCUCUACUUGCCGUUCACACUCCACGGUAUGUUACUUGCAUUGCAACUCGAUUAAUUCAUAUUCCUAUAGUAUGUAAGACACAUUAAAGGGGAAAUGCUUUCUAUAUACACCAACUUCUACUUUUUUUUAAUUCGAAAUUUCUUAUUAAAGGUGAAUGAAUGAUGAAUUUUAUCCAUUCCAUCAUAAUCCUUAGUGAUAAGAAACUGGUUGAAUUGAUUCACUGAAAUAACCUAAUUGGUACUCCUUCCGUGUCUUAAUCUAUGGUACACUCUCUUUUUUUAAGUCAGUUCCAAAGGAAGACAUAUUCUUCUAUUUAAUAACAAUUCAACUUUAAAACGUUCAUUUUACCCUCGAGAAGAAAUAUAACCAUAUAAACAUUUAACUUCUUUUAAGUCACAAAUUUUAAAAGUUUUCAUUUUCUCAAAAAUCCAUAUUAAAUUAAACAUCAUCCCAUGAAUUGAGACAAACAAACUACUUUAUGUCCCUACAUCUUUUAUUUCUACUUUACUGGAGAAUAAAUUUUUGAACCCAAAAAAUGAAUGAAUAUAAAAAUUAAAAUCCUCACACACACAAAUGUAGAUAUAUAAUAACACAGAGAAAUAUCCAAAGAUGAAGUUUCCACAUAUUGUAUGAUUGUGCAAAUAGGAUAGGCUUUGAUUAAAAUUGCGUUGAUCAUUCAUCAAUUCUACAUUUCCUUUUCAAGAUCAGCUCACUUUUCUACAUGGGCCAUGACACACAUAUUAUCAUUGUCCUUAUCACCCCUUUCUCAUUUUAUUGUCUCCUAAUGGCCUCUAAGGGGAUAUGUGUUUCAACAUUCAUGUUUUAUCACUUCUAUAUCGCAAUAACAAUAAUAUAUUUAGUAUAAUUUUACAAAUUGAAUUUGAGAAGAGUAGAGUGUGUGUAUAUAUAUAUAUAUAUAUAAUGGAGAUAGAUAGAUUGUUUUCGAAUAAUCCUCAACUCAAAUAUAUCAAAUUAAAAUUGAACAAGGAAAUAAUAAAGAAAAUAUGACACCUAAUAUGAAAAACAAUACAAAACAUAUAGAGAAUAAAUAGUAAUAAUACCAUCAUAUGGUAACCUACAUAAACAGAAGAAGUAAAAACUACGUGAAUAAGGCUAAUACUACGGUGUUUAUUACUUCUAUACUAGAAAAAAUAAUGCAUUGUUUGCUUUUUUUUUGGUUGAAAAAGAAAACAAUUGAUAGAGGUAUAUAUUUCUUUCUUUUGAUGUGACUAUCUUUUGUCUUUAUUAUUUAUAUAUAAUAAUAAAAUAAAAUAAAAAAUGACAAGGCUAAGAUUAGAUAAGAAAGAUAAGAGUCAUUGGGAAUUGGCGGAAAUUAUAUAUUCGUUUAGCUAUUAGUAAGUACAAAUAAUAGGGAUAAUGGUCUGAAAAAAACCCCAACUUUGAUCGGAUUUGUUGUUGCAAUACUAAAUUUUCAUAAGGACCUAUUACCUCCCUAGACUAUUUAAUACCGUAUUUUUUACCCCCUGAACUAUUUAAUAGUGUAUUUUAAAGGUAUAUAUGUGUCCACGUGGACACAUUACUAUUUAUAAUUUUGCAUUAUUUUUUAUGUCCACGUGGGCAAAUAUAUUUGUUUAAAAUACGGUAUUAAAUAGUCUAGUGAGGUAAUAGGUCCUCAUGAAAAUUUAGUAUCACAACAACAAAUCCGACCAAAGUUGAGAUAUUUUUCAGACUCUUAUCCCUAAAUAAUACUUGUAUACAUUGUAUGUUACAGUGCUCUCUCUUGAAAGAGAAUGCCACUUUUUUUAUUUGUAGAAUAUUAAUCUUCAGAUUUUAAUUUUUAUUUAAAUAAUAUGUCUCGUUAAGAUCCACUUAAAACAACAAUUUAACCUUUUUAGUCAUAAACAUGUCAAAUGAGUCGAGUUGGUUCGGCUCAAUUAAAACACGGUUUCAAACGGCCUGGUGCGGCUUGAAGGGAAGUUGGUUGGGGAAAUUGGAAAGGGGUCUGGCCGGAUGAGGUUUUGGAUCCAGUAAAUCUUCCCAUGUGCAAGCUUGGGUCUCGGUCCACGGUGCACCAACUUGGUCAUCAAACCUUGAUAAUCUUACUGAAUUCAGUAGCUUUGAUCCAAAUCUUGUAUUUACUUUUAAAAUAUUAUUAAAUGUGUACAAAUUAUUAAUAUAAAACUCAAUAAUUCAGACAAGCUAAAAAUCCGAACCCAUAAACCUUCAAAUAAAAAAGAAACGUAGGGAGUAAUAUGAAGCCGCAUUUUUAAGAUCUAAUUUCGUUUUCAAAGAUCAAAAUCAUUGAAGUUUAGGUGCUAAACAUGAUAAGCACAAAUUGCUAUUGUUCUCUUCGUGUGGCACAAAAUUUUUAGAAAGUAAAAAAAUACUUUUUGAAUUCUAUGAUUUUAAAUUAAAAAUAUAUUAAAUGUAUUUAAAUGUUCUUUAAUUUUAUAUUCUUAAACAUGUCAUGGAAAUUAAGAAAUGCUAAGAUUAACUUGUUUAAAAGAAAGAGUUAUUUUUUUUAAAAACGGAUUAAAAGAGAAUAACAAAGAGUGGAUCAAUUUUCACAAAUUUAAUCAUAGACCAUGAAUUUCUUAAAGGGGAACUUUCACAUAUAGCCACUUAAAAAUAGCCUAAUUACUCUCCAUAACUAUAGUUUGAUAAUUACAAUUCGUAGCUACAUGUUAUAUGGAGGAGAGAGGCAAGCAAGACUGGGAGAGAGAGGGGGCAAAAAGUGGGAGAAAGGUGAAUUGUAUAUGUAUAUAGGUUAGAUAAUUGUAUAUAUGGCAAGCGAGAUUGGGAGAGGGAGGAGAGAGGCGAGCGAGAUUGGGAGAGAGUGGGAGAGAGGUGAAUUGUAUAUGUAUAUAUGUUAGAUAAUUGUAUAUUAUACAUAGGCAUUUGUAUAUAUGGCAAGCGAGAUUGGGAGAGUAAGGAGAGAGGCGAGCGAGAUUGGGAGAGGGAGGCGAGAGGCUAGCGAGAGAGGGCAGAGAGUGGGAGAGAGAUGAAUUGUAUAUGUAUAUAGGUUGGAUAAUUGUAUAUUAUACAUAUGUAUUUGUAUAUUCUGGCGAAUUAUACAUAUACAAACGUGGCUAAUUAUACAAACUCGAAGUCAGCCCGCGUUAUUAAUGUAUAAUGUUAGUCGUGAGUGGUAAUUAUAGCAAAUUAUAGCUAUGAUGAGUAAUUAAGUCGUAUAAGUUUGCUUAAUCGCGUAAUUUUUCCUUUCUUGUAUGUGGUGGUUGGGCUUACGAGGUUCAGAUUUAAUUGGGCCUAGUUUUGGGCCGUCGGGCGCUUGCUUAAUAUGUACUUACCAGUAACAAUCAAAUGAGAUUCUUACGUACAUAGAAUGUAUUGAUUUGAUAAUUUUAAUUUUGAAAAAUAUUAUAUUAGUUUUACGAUAUGGUAUAUUGGUAAUCAUCAUUUGGUCGAACUCAACUUAUGUAUACUCAUAUAAAGAGAAUUAUGACUUGUGUUUUUUUAAAAAACGCCUCAAUUAUAUCAUACGAACACCUUAUUCAUAUAGAAAUAUUCAAAAAAAAAACAAACAAACAAUUUUCUUAGUUAAUCAAUCACCUAAAAACACAUUUCAAUCAAGAUAGAAUAGUCAAAGUUUCAAUGUGUAAAAAUUAAUUGGAGGUAAAGAAAUUUUUUCCGAUAGACCCUCAGUUCAAGGAAAAAACACAAGUCAAAGCAGCAUAGAGAAAUAAAUAGCGGAAAAGAAAAAGUAUUGACAAAGUACUAUAGACAACCUUAGAAAUCUUCUAGAGUAUUUUUUUGGAAUUGCAGUUUGAAAUUUCUGCAUUAAUUGGGACUAUCUUGAUUACAUCUUUGUUGUAAAUUUUAUGUACUAAAAGAUUUAUUCUUUAGGCUUAUUUUUGCUAAAGAAUCUUGGAUUUUUGUGAGUUUCCGGCUCACUGAGGACAUGACCCUUCAUAUUUGCCUGUGACAUUUCCUUUUUGUGUGGCUCAAUUUGAAUUUGUUAGUAGGGUUGAGCUUACUUUCAAGAAUAAAAUGGUCCUAAAUAGAGCGAGAUAGAUAUAGAUAACAGAUGAUUCAUAUUACCAAACUAACAAUACAAUACAAUAUAAUACGAUACAUUAUGAGACAACCAUUCAAACAGAGGGUAGAGGUUGCUAUGUCUAUCGCUAAUUUAUUAUUUGCCACAAAACUAGAAAUCAACUGUAACUUAUUAUGUAUUUGGCAACCAUGGGCAUAAAGUGAAGAAACAGAUGCAUCCAUUGAUAUUUGCCAGAACAUCAACACUAACUUGCUAAUUAAUUUGUGCAACUCUCCUGUAACCUCUGCAGAGACAAAUUGAGUUUUUGAAUAUUUAGGAAAAAUAUAAACAAUUGACAUAUAGUUAUCCAAUAAACAGCUACAGAAAUAGUGUUGUUCCUCAUACAAAACAAAAGAUUUUGAUGCAUACCUGGUAUAUUGCUAAUUCAUUCUAAGACCACGUCUUUGACGUCUCUUCUUUUGCCUUCUCCGCUUCUUAGCAGCAAUUUGUUGAGCAAUAUCUUCAGCAAAGUUCACAUACCAUUUUGGUUUUUCCAGUAGAAACAUGAGGCCUCCUAUCAACAAUCCAAUUAUCAUACCACAACCAUAACCUAUUACCACUGCUUCCCAUGUGAACCCGCUCAUAAAAAUGAUCAUCAUCAUCAUCAUCAUCAUCGUGUUCAAGUGGUGAUUCAUUAUUGUUUCCACAUUCUUUUGACAGUGGAAAUCCACAUAAAUCAGGAUUUCCACAAUACGAAUCAUUUGGAAAUGUAUUGAACUGUUUCCCAGUAGGAAUGUGCCCAGCCAGAUGAUUGUAGGAGAGGUUUAAGACCGCAAGAAAUGUCAAACUCGACAAUUGACCUGGAAUUUCCCCAAUGAAUCUGUUCCAUGAAAGGUCUAAUGCUUCGAGCUCAUGCAACUUUGCAAUUUCUGCAGGAAUAACUCCACAGAAGCUGUUGUGAGACAGGUUGAGUAACACAAGUGAGCUCAGACUUCCAAUGGAAUUUGGAAUAUCUCCUUCAAACCUGUUGUUUGAUAAAUCAACACUCGUCAUAAUUGACGUGAUUUUCAUAUCAAACUCAUUACCUUUUAUCACCAAACUAACAUGGUAAAGGUAAUCUCUGUGAGUCCUAUUAGUAGCUCGAGUAAUUCCUGUAUUUUCUUCAUCCACAUACAUCAUACCUCUGAAACUUUUGAAAAAAUUAGAUGACAAAGUUCCUGUGAACCCAUUGAAGGAAAGGUCAAAGAUUCGUAACUCAGGAAAUGGAAAUUCUGACUCCAAAUCACCAAUUGAACCGUGAAAGAGAUUUGAUUUCAGAAUCAAAACUUGUAGGUUCGGAAGUUUCUCCAGCCAUAUGGGGAACGUGUCAUUUAACUUGUUGUUCCCCAAAUCAAGAGCUUCCAAGCUUGUACAGUUAACCAAGGAUCGCGGGACUUGUCCCCUCAAUUGAUUGCCAUAUAAACCAAGAUACUGUAACCCUGUAGGUAAGAAUCUUGGUAUCUCUCCAUGAAAACUGUUCAUUCGCAAGUCUAAAAUAGAAAUGGAGCUAUUGGAGUUACCCAAACAGUCUGGGAUUGAACCACUGAAAUUGUUCUGAGCCAAAAUGAGGAAUACAAGGUUAAUCAUGUCACAAAAGGAUUGAUGCAAAGUCCCUUGAAGAAAAUUGUUCUCCAAAUUAAGGUAUUGUAAGGAGUCUGAGUGCCAUACUUUUUUUUCAAAGCCUGUGAGGAAGUUAUGAGAGAGAUCCAGACUACCCAUGCUCUUGGAUAACAUCCCAUAAGGGAUAUCUCCAUGCAGAUUGUUGUAUGAAAGAUCAAUGUUAAAGUAUUCUAGAUAAUUACUCUUGAGCUCAUUUGGCAAUUUCCCGGUUAAUUGAUUGUCUUGAACAUAUAAAGAAAGCAAGGAUGGAAGAUGGAAUAACCAAGGGGGUGUUGUGCCAGUGAAAUAAUUGAACGACAAAUCAAGUAUUUGUAGCUCUUGAAAGCCGCUUAUAUUAGAGGGAAUUGGACCAGUUAGUGAAUUGUUUUGCAAGUCUAAACUUUCAAGGUGAGUCAAGGUUGCAAUUGAAUCGGGGAAUGGGCCAGUAAAAUUGUUACUUUCAAAAUAUAAAGUAUCUAGCUCUGAAAAGUUGGCAAAGAUGUCUGGAAUCGAGCCUUCAAAAUUAUUGGAAGAGAGAGAUAUGAAGCUAAGUUUGUUUAGCUUUUGGAUAGUUGAGGGAAUAUUUCCGGUGAAGCUGUUAUCUGAAAGUCGCAACUCUCUGAUUGCAGUGAGGUUGCCAAAGGAUUCUGGAAUUGAGCCUCGAAAAUGGUUGUGAGAGAGAUCUAAAUGAACAAGUUUGCUUAAUUUAGAGAUAGUUGAGAGAACAUUACCAGUGAAGCUGUUACCUGGAAGUCUCAACUCUGUGAUUGUAGUGAGGUUGCCAAGGGAUUCCGGAAUAGAGCCGGAUAAAUGGCAAUACCAGAUGUUCAAAUGUAAAAGAGAAUGGAGAUUACCAAUUGAAUCAGGUAGCUUCCCAAAUAUAUCAGUAUUGGAGAAGUCCAACUCUAAAAUACUUCCACUGAAACUCCAAUUGAAAUUCGGCAAGGUGCCUGUUAAUGACGGAUUCUCUCCCAAUAGCAGCACUUGCAAGUUUGGUAGAUGAAAAAUCUGAGACUCACUUAGGUUCCCAAAAAUGCCGGUGCCUUGAAAACUUAAGUACCUAAGGGAAGAAGAAAGGUUCUUAGGUAACUCAAAUGGUGCGUAUACGUUGUCAAGAAACAGUACCUCCAAAUUGGUUAAGUCUUGAAGCAAACUUGUGAAGGUUGUUUGACCAAAUGGGAAUAGUACAGCCAAAUGCCAGGAGAGGUCAAGUGAAACCAAUUUGGACAAGUUUGAUAAUACUUGUGGGAUGUGCAUCAAAGUUCCAGAAUGCGAAAGAUUGAGAUGCGUCAAACUACUGAGUUCACUAAUGUUAUUUCCAAGUGGAAACUCGCCCAACUUGUUGAAGGCAAGAUUGAGUCGUUGGAGAUGACCAAGUUUUUUUAGGCUGCUGUUAGCAUGGAUGGUUCCCCAAAGACAGCUCGAAGAAAGAUCGAGGCCUAUGACAUGACCCGUAAAUCCAUCACAAGUAACACCAUCCCAUUCACAACAAUCUCCUGUAACAUUCCAGGACAAAUUCUUGGUUCGGGCCUUGUUGUCACAGUACUCAUAAUUUGAAUCAACUCUGAGUUCUUGCUUAAAUUGAAGCAAAUAAAAAGCUUCAUCGCGAGCACAGAGAUGUUUCCCAGCAUAUGUAAGCUGAGAUUGUUGGGAAAAAAUUAUAAAAAGUGAAUAGAAGCAGAAAGCUAUUAGCAAUUGUUGGUACUCCAUUGCAUAUAUCUAGCUAGCUACGAACUUGUUGUAUAUAUAGUGUGAUCAAUAAUGCAUUAUUGUUGUUGACCCAAGUCAAUUUCCUCCUUUAUUAAGUAACACAACUUUAUUAUCACUAAUACAAUUUUAAUAUUAUUUUUUCAAAAACUUUACUACCACUAAUACAAUUUUAAUAUUCUUUUCAAAAGUUUAUGCGUUUUUUAUCUUUCUAAAAAGUAAAUUGCCAAACUCGUUUAACAACCAUAGAAACAGUUUCUUCCAAUGAAAUUACAUAGCACUAGCAAAUAAUAGGUCAUUGAUCCUUGGGUUGAAGCGGAUUGCUGAAAUGAGCUAAAAGCUAAGUCAUAACCCAACCUGAACAAUUCUUACUAAAUUUAAAUUAUAAAUUUUGUUUAACAUAAGGAAAUAAAUGUUUUUCUCUUGGGUGUGGCCUGUUACAAAAUGAGUGUUAUUGUUCUGCCUCAUGCAAAAUGCUAUUUCCUUCAUUUCAAUUUGUUUUCUUAUUUUGACUUUGCACGGAAUUUAAAAAAAUGAAAAAGACUUUUGAAUUUUAUUGUCUUAAACUAGACAGACCAUUAAUAUGUAUUGGUAUUUUGCUGGGCAGAGCUCCCCUGUAGAUUUUUUUUUUUUUUACAAUAUAGUAAUAUAAGAAGAUGGCUUUUUUCGUAGAUCUUUAUAAUAUAAUUUUUAUACUAUUUUAUUUAAUAUAAUCGACUAUAAUAAGAAUAUUUUAUUUUCCAAAGUCACAUAUCACGUUUACUAAGAUUCAUUUAUUACUGUAGAUCAACAAAAUUUGAUAUUCUUAAAAAAAUAUAUAUGGUUCACACUUCACAUAUAUUAAAAGAGUAUUUGAUCUACGCAAUCUUUUCUAGGUAGGGUAGUGUUUAAAAUAGGCUUCUAUUAUAAUACUCCAUAUGAGGAUUUAUAUGUUGCAUUAAACUAGUAGAUAAUAGAGGAUUCAUAUUGCCGGAAAUAACAAUAAAAUACAAUACAGUACGAGACAACCAUCCAAACAAAGUACCUAUGUCUAAAGCUUAUUUAUUAUUUGCCAUAAAACUAUAGAAAUCAACUGUAACAGAUGCAUCCAUAGCUAAUAAACUUGUCCAAUCUGCACACACAUUGAGUUUUUGAAUAUUUAGGAAAAAAUAACAAGUUAUCCAAUAAACAGCUACAAAAGGUUUUGAUGCAUACCUGGUAUAUUUGCUAAUUCAUUCUUAAACCACGUCUUUGACGUCUCUUCUUUUGCCUUGUUUGCUUCUUAGCAGCAAUUUGUUGAGCAAUAUCUUCAGCAAAGUUCACAUACCAUUUUGUUUUUUCCAGUAGGAACAUGAGGCCUCCCAUCAACAAUCCAAAUAUCACAUACCUAGUGGUGGCAAAUGGAGGGUUGAGUCAAAUUUGGGCGGGUUGAAAAUGAGUUAACAUAAAAUGGGUAAUAAUUCAAUCCGUCCAUAAUUGAUAUGGGUAAAAAUGAAUUGGGUAACAAAUGAGUUGGGUAAAAUACUAGUUUACCCAUAUUUUCAUGAGUAAUAGUACUCUACUUAAGAUUUCAACAUGGAGAAAAUAUUUUAGUGUUUUUUUAGUUGAAAUAUGUUGAAAAUGCUUCAUUUAGUUUUAUUGUAUCAUAAAAGUAAAAAGAAAAUCCUAUAACUUUUAAUAUAAAAUAAAUUUAUGUUUACCUGGAAAACAAGUAGAUUUUUAACUUAUUUUCUCAUGUUUGGUUGGUGAGUAGAAAAUAUUUUCCGGAAAAAAAUUGUAGUGUUUGGUUUAUGAAUGAUUUUUUUUUUUUGAAAAAUAUUUUAUUUUUACUAGAGUAGAAAAUAAUUUUUGAAAUUGAAAAUAUUUUUUAAAAAGAAACUUAAAUUUUUUUUUCGAGGUUGGGGAGGUAGGGGGGCUGGUGGUCGGGGGGAUCGAGGGUAGGGGUUAAAAAAUAAAAAUUUGAAAUUGAAUUUUUUUUUGGGGNNNNNNNNNNNNNNNNNNNNNNNNNNNNNNNNNNNNNNNNNNNNNNNNNNNNNNNNNNNNNNNNNNNNNNNNNNNNNNNNNNNNNNNNNNNNNNNNNNNNNNNUUUGGGGGUUUGGGGUUGGUAAGGGGUUGGGAGGGGGGGUCGAGGGUUGGGGUGAAAAUGUUAUCCUUCAUACCAAACACUCCCUAAAACAUGCUUAAUGCACUUUAAGCAAUGUCAAUACUAGUACAUGAUUUGCUUAUUUUACACUAUUAUUUAUUAUCCAAUAUAAAAUUAAACAAAUAAAAAAAAUAUAAUUAACAAAAGAAAUGUACAUUUAAAAUAGAUAUUUUUGAAGGGCCAAAGACUUCACAUUUUCAAUUUUAGAGAAAAAUAAUUAGUUUUAUAGAGGAACAUAAAAAGGAAGAGAAGUUACAAUAUAUUUGGUAAUAUCAUGAAUUUUGACUGAAUAAAAGUUUUAACUCAUUUGGCUAAUCCAUAUUUUACCCAUAUUACCCAUAUUUUACCCAUGUAAAAAGUCACUCACCCAACCCAAUAAAUAUGGGCGGGUUGGAUAGGUUACCAAAAUAUGGGUUCAUUUUGUCGACACUAAUCAUACCACAACCAUAACCUAUUGCAACAGCUUCCCAUGUGAACCCACUCAUAAAAAAUGAAUCAUCAUCAUCAUCAUCAUCGUGUUCAAGUGGUGAUUCAUUAUUGUUUCCACAUUCUUUUGACAGUGGAAAUCCACAUAAAUCAGGAUUUACACAAUACAAAUCAUUUGGAAAUGUAUUGAACUGUUUCCCAGUAGGAAUAGGCUCAGCCAGAUGAUUGUAGGAAAGAUUUAAAACCUCCAGAAAUGUCAAACUCGACAAUGGAACUGGAAUUUCUCCAAUGAGUCUGUUCCAUGAAAGGUCUAAUGCUUCGAGCUGCUGCAACUUUGCAAUUUUUGCAGGAAUAUAACCAUGGAGGUUGUUGUGAGACAGGUUGAGUAACACAAGUGAGCUCAGACUUCCAAAGGAAUUUGGAAUAUCUCCUUCAAAUCUGUUGCAUGAUAAAUCAAUACUCAUCAUAAUUAACGUGAUUCGCAUAUCAAACUCAUUACCUUUUAUCACCAAACUAAAGUGGUAAAGGUAAUCUGUGUCAUUGCUUGUAAUUUGUCGAGUAAUUCCUGUUUGUUCUUCAUCAACGUACAUCAUACUUCUGAAACUUUUGAAAAGAUUAGAUGACAAAGUUCCUAUGAACCCAUUAAAUAAAAGGUCAAAGAUCCGUAACUCAGGAAAUGGAAAUUCAGACUCCAAAUCAACUAUUGGACCAUGAAAGAGGUUUGAUUUCAGAAUCAAAACUUGUAGGUUUUGAAGUUUAUUCAGCCAUAUGGGGAACGUGUCAUUUAUCUUGUUGUUCCCCAAAUCAAGAGCUAUCAAGCUUGUACAGUUAACCAAGGAUCGCGGGACUUGUCCCCUCAAUUGAUUGCCAUAUAAACCAAGAUAUUGCAACCUUGAAGAUAAGAAUCUUGGUAUCUAUCUCUCCAUGAAAAUUGUUCAUUUGCAAUUCUAAAAUAAAAAUGAAGCUACUGGAGUUACCCAAACAUCCUGGGAUUGAACCACUAAAAUUGUUCUGAGCCAAAAUGAGGACUUGAAGGUAAAUCAACUCAUAAAUGGAUUGAUGCAAAGGCCCUUGAAGAAAAUUGUUCUCCAAAUUAAGAUAGGACAAGUACUUUGUGUGCCAUAUCUGUUUUCAAAGCCUAUGAGAAAGUUAUGAGAGAGAUCCAGACUAUUCAUAACUAUGGAUAAUAUCCAAUAAGGUAUUUCUCCAUGCAGAUUGUUGUAUGAAAGAUCAAUUAAGUCUACUGAGGAACUUCUAUUGAGCUUAUUUGGCAAUUCCCCAGUAAAUUUAUUGGCUUGAACAUUUAAAGACAUCAAGGAUGGAGGAUGGAAUAACCAAGGGGGUAUUGCACCAGUGAAAUAAUUGAAGGAUAGAUCAAGAUUAUACAGCUCUUGAAAUUCGCUUAUAUUAGAGAGAAGUGGACCAGUUAGUGAAUUGUUUUGCAACUCUAAUAUUUGAAGGCGAGUCAAGGUAGCAAUUGAAUAGGGGAAUGGGCCAGUGAAAUGGUUACUAUGAAAAUUUAAAAAAGAUGGCUCUGAAAAGUUGGCAAAGAUAUCUGGAAUCGAACCUUCAAAAUUAUUGGAAGAGAGAGCUAUUACACUAAGUUUGUUCAACUUACGGAUAGUUGAGGGAACAUUUCCGGUGAAGCUAUUAUCUGAAAGUCUCAACUCUGUGAUUGCACUGAGGUUGCCAAUGGAUUCUGGAAUCGAGCCGAAUAAAUAGCAACACAAGAGGUUCCAAUGCCUAAGAGAAUAGAUGUAACACCCCAGAAAUUUUUUCGCACUAUGACUUGAACCAUCCUUCGUUGUGAGUAGGAUUUUUACCGAAGAAUUUAAAAUUUCUUGAGUGUUAAGGUCACUAGAUGUAGCACCUUGAAUUCCAAGAAGAAUUAGAGAGAAUUCAUUGAAGUCGAUCCUAAGUUCCUUUAAGUUUUGAUUCAACCUCAGACGAUCAUAAUUCUCAGUACAAGAUGAGUUAGGUGGAAUACAAGGUAUCCAAUGAAAGGUCUUUGAAUUAUCUUUCAAACGCCGCUGAGUUUGCUAAGUUUUGAGUUCGGAUGAGUGAGAUAUCCCCUUUUGAAGUCAGGUUGUCCAGUUAAAGAAAGUUACCCAAAAAUAGUAAGGGGUAUUUUGGUCUUUUCCUUACCCAAUCAGAUUUAAUUCGUUUUAGUAAUGUUUUAGGGGUCUAAUCCUAUUAGGUUCAGUUUUAUAAUCCUAAAAUAUGUCUAGGAUUUAGUUGAGAGUUCAAGAAGAGAUAAGAAGAGAGGAUCAAGCGUUCGUCAAGAUUCUUGCGUGUUGUUGCGUAUUUUCGCCAUGGGUUUGAUCCCUAAGAGUUAUAUAAGCUUUCAUAGCGUUGGGUUAGUUCACCCACAUGCCAAUCAUGUUAUUUUUAGCGAAAUUUCAUUCUUGAAGUUGAAAGAUUAGAGUUCUUGAUAGGUGUUCUUGAAGUUCAUUCUAAAUUUUGUUGGGUUGGGGUUUUGAUGAUUUCUUGAGAUGAAAUUUAGUUAUUUGAGUGUUGUUUUUAGUAUAUUAGAGUGUAAUUAUGUUAAGUAAUCGAAUCCAAGUGAUUGGGGAAGAAGCCGUUCGAUUUUAGGCGAGUUAGGGUGAGAAAACGAGCAAAGAAAGUCGUUGAAGUUUUCUGGGUUGGGGCCUGGCGUGUCAAGCCAGCCAGAUCGCCCCACCCACUUCUCUGAACUUUAGGGGCUGGCACCCUGCUCCACUUAGCGCCAGGGUCGCCUUCCCCCACGCGUUCUUUAUCGUUUCGUCCGUUUAAGUUCUUCAAAGGGUACCUUUACUCCCCUUUGAUUAUAAACACUCUAAACUACUUCUAAACACCUAGAAAUCAUUCAUAACAUGAUCAUAACCUUGAAUUCAUAAUUCAAAUUUAAGUUAGAGUUAAGAUUUAAGUUUUGAGAAUUCUUUCAAACAUUCUAAGAAAGUCCCUUUGAGUCCUUUUGUGGAGUCUUCUACAACUUCUAGUAACUUGUUUCAAGACUCAAGUAAGUGAGAGUGAGAGUGAGGAGAAUGUAUUCAUGAGUGUACACUAUCACCUAGAUCCUUCAUAUCAUGAAUCAUAACUCUUGAAUUCAUAAUUCACAUUCAAGAGAGAGUUAAAAGUAGAGUUCAAGAAAGCCUUUGAGUUCAAUUGUGAAUCCUUUGAGAUCAACUAUCGAUUUGAACUAAGUUUGAGGUAGUAAGUAAGAUAAUGAUAAGUGUCGUAUACAUGAAAUCCAUGUAGUUUGUAGACCUUCUAGUCGAGUCNNNNNNNNNNNNNNNNNNNNNNNNNNNNNNNNNNNNNNNNNNNNNNNNNNNNNNNNNNNNNNNNNNNNNNNNNNNNNNNNNNNNNNNNNNNNNNNNNNNNNNNNNNNNNNNNNNNNNNNNNNNNNNNNNNNNNNNNNNNNNNNNNNNNNNNNNNNNNNNNNNNNNNNNNNNNNNNNNNNNNNNNNNNNNNNNNNNNNNNNNNNNNNNNNNNNNNNNNNNNNNNNNNNNNNNNNNNNNNNNNNNNNNNNNNNNNNNNNNNNNNNNNNNNNNNNNNNNNNNNNNNNNNNNNNNNNNNNNNNNNNNNNNNNNNNNNNNNNNNNNNNNNNNNNNNNNNNNNNNNNNNNNNNNNNNNNNNNNNNNNNNNNNNNNNNNNNNNNNNNNNNNNNNNNNNNNNNNNNNNNNNNNNNNNNNNNNNNNNNNNUAAGAAGUCUUUUACAAAUGUUUUAACUUUGUUUUAAGAUUUAAUCUUUGAAGUUGAAUAAAGAGUAAGAGCAAAGUUCAUUUUAUUUAAAAUGAUAUAUGGGAACUAAGUAUUCCCAAGAGUAAAUGUUUUCACAUUUAAGAUGAGAAGAAACUGAGAUUUCCAAAAGAGUUUUGAGCAAGAAAUGGAGCAUCGAUUCCAAGAGAGCAUUUAAGCUAAGUUUUUGAGUAAUUCUCUCAAACCAAAGAAAGAAUUUUUGUGUUUACAAACAUAUGAGCUAAGAUAUUUUGGGAGUAGUAUUGUUCACCGAUAUGGAGACGAGUUUGAGUUUAGCUAACUCACGUCUCCAUAAACCAUGUAGCCAUCAUGGGUAGUAAAAGAUCAUACUUAUUAGACGACUCCUUAAGAUGCUUUUAGCAUAAGUUAGUGAAUCCACUAAGUUAAGUGUUCUAUAUGACGGCAAAGUAUAAGACAGUUCUGGUAGCGUGGGCAAGACGUUGUAUCACCACUUAGGCUCAUAGUGGUAGUUAUCGGUUAGAGAAACUCCCACAGAAAAUAUAUUACUUUAUUAUAUAGGUAAAGUUCAGUUUGUUAUUGCAUUUUCUUUAACGAGCUAAGUUGUUUUUACUGUUUUAUAAAAGCUUUCCAUAUAUUGCAUAUGUAUUGUUGAUUUAUAUUGAGUUGAGUAUCCAGAGUUGAGUACCCAGAGUCGAAUAUCAUAUCUUUGAGUUGAGUAUCUUAUCCUUGAAUACUUCUGAGUUGAGUAAGUUUGAGUAAUCUUGAGUAUCCUUGAGUAUUCCUUGAGUUGAGUAAGUUUUAAAAGAGGUAAGUAUGUCUCCUUUUUGUCAAGCUUGAAGCUUAUGUUUAUGUUUUAGAAUUCCCCUUACAUGCUCGUACAUUCUACGUACUGAGCCAUUUGGCCUGCAUCUUUUCAUGAUGCAGAGACAUGUAUUCUGGAUCAUCAACAUGAGAUUUGUUGAUACCUUCGGGAGUUCGAGUUAGCUUUGGUGAGCUUACUUGUUUUCGGAGGAUUUCAUUUACUUUUCAGUUUAGUCAUGAUGUCAUGGGUCUUGUCCCGACUUCCAUUUUUAUCAGUUAAAGGCUUCAUAAAUAGUCAGUAUAGUUGAGAAGGCUGUAUUAUUAAUUUAUUUUAUUAAAUAUUUUAAAGACUUAAGUUGCCUAUUUUAUGGCGAGUUGAAUAUAUUAUUUUUAUUCUAAGUUGUUCAUUUGAGUUAUUGUUUUACAAAGUUGAGUUUAUUAAAUUUAUUUCAAUUUUAAGUUUUUGCAUGCUUAAGUUAGUCUUUCGCCUGUAGUCAGCCAUGAUGAGGAUUCGCUUGGGGACCAGCAAUGGUUCUUGAGUGCCGGCCACGUCCAGGGUGUAGACUAGAAUCGUGACAAACUUGGUAUCAGAGCAUAGAGUUCAAGUGUCCUAGGGUGUCUAUGAAGUUGUGUCGGUAGGGUCUUGUUUAUGGUUGUGAGGGACCCACUUUAUUCUAUAAAUGAGGGACUACAGACAUUUAAGAAAAGUUGCCCUUCUUUCAUACUCUUAAUCGUGCAAUUGAGUUAUCUCAUAGAGAUUUUAUUCUUACUCGUGCAUUUCUCAGAUUUAUUCAUUCGACUACCCAUCAUAUUAGAGGUGGUUGAACAGAAAAGUCAGUCCUUAGUCGAUGAGUUGUUCUUAGCUAAAUCUUGAGAAAGUCAUGAAACUCCAGAGGGGUUGAGAGAAGCCCAUGAGUGAGCUAAGAGUUGAGUUUUAGAGUAAUGCCUUCAUAUUCAUAUGAAUCAUGUGUUUGAGCUAAAAAUGAGUUGUACUCUUUUCUCUAAGUCUUGUUUCAGCUGAGAUUCUUAUGAGAAAAUAUGUUUAGAGCUUGGGACGUAUUUUCACCCGAAAAGGAAGCAUGAGCUACGAGAUCAUGAGUAGUAGUAGUGAAAGUGCCCAUAGUUAGAGCAAAAUAUGCAGAGGUUUAGUAAUCCUAGAAAGGGAGAUAGUGAUGAGGCAAGCUAUGUUAUUAUUGUCAUGCACCUAGUAAGUUAUUACUGGAGAGUUUUCCCUUAUGGUUAGACUAAGAAAUGAUGAGUAGUAAAGAUUCCAUCAUAGGAGGUUGAGCGUGUUGUAGCUAGAAAGAAGUUGGCGAUGAAGUGCCAUUGUGUAGGAAAUGACCAAGUGUAAGUGUUGAAUAGAAAAAUAAAAGUAUUCAUAAUGAUAGAUCUAAGCUAGGCCUAUGAUUUGUUUGAGAGGGUCAUGAUGAUCAUAAGGUUAUAAAACUGAUUAAGUAAUAAAGUAUAAUAUAGUAGGUGAGCAAUCGUAUUGAUAUUCAAGUUUAGUAAUAAACAUUAAGCUUGAAUUUGAGAUGAGUGUCAUGAUCAAAAGAAUGACAACAUGAGGGUGCUGAUGCUAGUCUUGAGGUUUAAUCUAGAAGACUUGAUGAAUUGAGUGUUAGCUGGAAUAUAUAUGAGUGGUACAAGUGGGAGACCUUAACCUUUAGAUAAUGGCAGUGAAGUGUGGCUAAGUCACAAGAGUAAUAAGAACGUUAAGAGGUGUACCGAGAGGGUAUGUAACCAGAAGAGGUUAAGGGAAACACCUUAGAAAGAGGUCUUAGUACUUGCUUAUGGGGAGUUUGGUAGUCAUGAGAUAAGGUUUCCUUGAGUGACCAUUAAGAGAUGAUAAAAUAGCUCCAUAGCUUUCAAGUGUCGGCUUUAGACCUAAGAGGGAGAUGAGGAGAUGAGGAAUCAAGUCAAGUGUUUGAGAGUAAGAUAGUAAUGAGUUCCAAAGAGUAUGGAAGAUAUCCUUUCAGAGGUCUUUUUAGUAAUGAAGUGAUGUUAGAAAGAGGAGGUUGAUGUUCUUAUCGUGAUAGUUAUGAUGUGGUAAUUCCAUCAAAGGUUAUAAAAGAGGAGGAUGAGGUUUUACUAUGAGAAAUAGUUAAAUGAGAGCCCUUAGUUGGUUCCGAAGGAGUUAGUUAGUAGAAGUCCAUGGAGUUGUUAGAGUACUAAGCUUGGAUGUGGUGGUAAAGAGUAAUAGUCUUGGGAUAAGAUUCCCUAUAGAGAGGUAUAGAACCCGAACUCAAGGAUUUGGUUUAAGCUUGAAUAUAGUAAGAGCAGACCAUUAGACUCAAACCUUAGUAAGAGUAACCCCGUUCCAUACCCAGUCCAGUCGUCAUUCAAGGACGAAUGAUCCCAAAUGGGAGAUAUUGUAACUCCUCAGAAUUUUUUUUGAACUAAGACAUGAAUCAUCCUUCGUUGUGAGUAGGAUUUUUACCAAGGAAUUUGAAAUUUCUUGAGUGUUAAGGUCACUAGAUGUAGCACCUUGAGUUCCAAGAAGAAUUAGAGAGAAUUCAUUGAAGUCAUUCAUAAGUUUCUUUAAGUUUUGAUUCAUCUUCAGACGAUCAUAACUCUCAGUACAUGAUGAAUUAGGUGUGCUACAAGGUAUCCAAUGAAAGGUCUUUGAAUUAUAUUUCCAAUGCCGCCGAUUUUGCUAAGUUUCGAGUUCGGAUGAGUGAGAUAUCCCCUUUUGAAGUCAGGUUGUCCAGUUAAGGAAAGUUACCCAAAAAUAGUAAGGGGUAUUUUGGUCUUUUCCUUACCCAAUCAGAUUUAAUUCAUUUUAGUAAUGUUUUAGGGGUCUAAUCCUAUUAGGUUCAGUUUUAUAAUCCUAAAAUACGCCUAGGAUUUUAGUUGAGAGUUCAAGAAGAGAAAAAAAGAGAAAAAAGGAGAAAAAAGGAGAGGAUUAAGUGUUCGUCGAGAUUCUUGCUUGUUGUUGCGAAUUUUCGCCAUGGGUUUGAUCUCUAAGAGGUAUGUAAGCUUCCAUAGUGUUGGGUUAGUUCACCCACAUGCCAAUCAUGUAAUUUUCAGCGAAAUUUCAUUCUUGAAGUUGAAAGAUUAGAGUUCUUGAUGAGUUCUUGAUAGGAGUUCUUGAAGUUCAUUAUAAAUCUUGUUGUGUUGGGAUUUUGAUGAUUUCUUGAGAUAAAAUUUAGUUAUUUGAGUGUUGUUUUGAGUAUAUUAGAGUGUAGUUAUGUUAAGUAAUCGAAUCCAAGUGAUUGGGGAAGAAGCCGUUCGAUUCUAGACUAGUUAGGGUGAGAAAACGAGCAAAGAAAGGUGUCGAAGUUUUCUGGGUUGGGGUCUGGCGUGUCACGCCAGCCAGAUCGCCCCAACCACUUCUCUGAACUUUAGGGGCUGGCACCCCACGCCACUCAGAGCACCAGGGUCACCUACCCCAGCCCGUUCUUCAUCGUUUCGUCCGUUUGAGUUCUUUCAAAGGGUACCUUUACUCCCUUUUGAUUCUAAACUACUUCUAAACACCUAGAAAUCAUUCAUAACAUGAUCAUAACCUUGAAUUCAUAAUUCAAAUUUAAGAUAGAGUUAAGAUUUAAGUUUUGAGAAUUCUUUCGAACAUUCUAAGAAAGUCCAUGUGAGUCCUUUUGUAGAGUCUUCUACAACUUCUAGUAAUUUGUUUCAAGACUCAAGUAAGUGAGAGUGAGAGUGAGGAGAAUGUAUUCAUGAUUGUACACUAUCACCUAGAUCCUUCAUAUCAUGAACCAUAACUCUUGAAUUCAUAAUUCACAUUCAAGAGAGAGUUAAAAGUAGAGUUCAAGAAAGCCUUUGAGUUUAAUUGUGAAUCCUUUGAGAUCAACUAUCGAUUUGAACUAAGUUUGAGGUAGUAAGUAAGAUAAUGAGAAUUGUCGUAUACAUGAGUUCCAUGUAGUUUGUAGACCUUCUAGUUGAGUCGUUCAUCCCCAUAAAUUUCGUAUGGACUCCAUAAAUUGAGUAUCAUUGAGAGGGGUAAUAUCUUCAAGCUCUAAGUCUUGAGUAUUGAGUUCCCAAUCCCCUUUGAGAUUAUAUUUUCUAAUCAUGGCACUAUUUCAUGUUACCUAUGAAGUCCUUGAGUUGAAGUGUUCAUGCCUAUAAUUAUGCAUGAACCCUAUAAGUCGAACAGUCUUGAGAUGAUAAGUAUCUUUGAGUCCUUGAGUUGAGUAGUUCAUGCUCAUAAUUCCGCAUGAACCUUCUGAGUUGAGCAUUCUUGAAAUGAGUAGUAUCAUUGAAGUUCUUGGGUUUCAAGUAUUGAGUUUUAUCUAUGGUUAUUGAAAACCUUGCAUUGAGUCGUUCACGUCCAUAAAUCGACAUGAACCAUAUUUAAGAAGUCUUUUACAAAUAUUCUAACUUUGUUUUAAGACUUAAGCUUUGAAGUUGAAUAAAGAGUAAGAGAAAAUUUUAUUUUCUUUAAAAUGAUAUAUGGGAACUGAGUAUUCCCAAGAGUAAAUGUUUUCACAUGUAAAAUGAGAGGAAACUGAGAUUUCCAAAAGAGUUUUGAGCAAGAAAGGGAACAUCGAUUCCAAGAGAGCAUUUAAGCUAAGUUUUUGAGUAAUUAUCUCAAACCAAAGAAAAAAAUUUUGUUUUUACAAACAUAUGAGCUAAGAUAUUUUGGGAGUAGUAUUGAGCACCGAUAUGAAGACGAGUUUGAGUUCAGCUAAUUCACGUCUCCAUAAACCAUGUAGCCAUAAUGGGUAGUAAAAGAUCAUACUUUUUAGAUGACUCCUUAAGAUGCUUUUAGCAUAAGCUAGUGGAUCCACUAAGUUAAGUGUUCUAUAUGACGUCAAAGUAUAGGACAGUUCUGGCAGUGUGGGCAAGACGUUGUAUCACCACUUAGACUCAUAUUGGUGGUUAUUGGUUAGAGAAACUCCCACAGAAAAUAUAUAAAUUUAUUAUAUAAGUAAAGUUCAGUUUGUUAUUGCAUUUUCUUUAACGAACUAAGUUGUUUUUACUGUUUUAUAAAGCUUUCCAUAUAUUGCAUGUGUAUUGUUGAUUUAUAUUGAGUUGAGUAUCCAGAGUUGAGUACCCAGAAUCGAAUAUCAUAUCUUUGAGUUGAAUAUCUUAUCCUUGAAUUCUUCUGAGUAGAGUAAGUUUGAGUAUCCUUGAGUAUUCCUUGAGUUGAAGGCAAGGUUGAGUCUUUGGAGAUGACCAAGUUUUUUGAGUCUACUGUUAGCAUAGAUGGUUUCGCUUAGAAAGCUGCAAGAGAGAUCGAGGCCUAUGACAUGACCCGUAAAUCCAUUGCAAGUAACACCAUCCCAUUCACAACAAUCUCCUGUAACAUUCCAAGACAAAGUCUUGGCUUGGGCCGCACUGCCACAAACAUAAUGAUAGUAAUUGGCUUUUGGACCAAGAAAUGUGAGGCUUUGCCUAAAUUGAAGCAAAUAAAAAGCUUCAUCGCGGGCACAAAGAUGUUUCCCAGCAUAUGUAAGUUGAGGUUGUUGGACAAAAAGUCUAAAAAGUGAAUAGAAGCAAAAAGCUAUUAGCAAUUGUUGGUACUCCAUUGGAAAUAUAUCUAACUAUCUAGGAACUUGUACUCCAUCUUUAUAUAGUAGUAGGGAUCGAACGUGUAACGCAAACACGUUUCCACAACUAGUCUUUAUUCCUACAGUAUAAUUAGUAUAAUGCAUUAUUGUUGUUAGACUCAAGUCAAUUUCAAUCUUGACCUAGGACACGCACCCAAGUCGAUAUGCCGAUUCAUACAUAUAUUUCACCACACUUAUGACACAACCCUAUCAACCAUGUCUUGUUCUUGCACAUCUCAUCAAGUGGGGGAGACAGGUGCACAAUAUUCAAAUGUCAUAAUUAAUUCACGAUAAGAGAUCAUUAUUUUUCUAUGUUAAUGCUUUUGGGACAAUUUUCCAUUUCAAAAAGUCUACACCUUUAUGUUUCUAAAAUGAAAAUUGUCAACUUGAGACAUAGCCACUAAUUGACAACCAUAGAAGAAGCUUCUUCCAAUGAAAUUACAUAGUAGCAGCAAAGUAUAGGUGCAACUAUGGUUUUUAAAUGGGCAGGUUGAAUUGGAUUUAAGAAAGACAAAAUAUGUUAAUAAAUAGACAAAUAGUUGAUCUACUUUAAUGUUACUUGGACUUAAGCAGGUUGGGUUGAAAUGAGUUAUAAAGGAGGUUAUAACUCAAUCAGCUUAAUUGUUACUAAGUUUUAUAUUCAAAGUUUGUUUAAUAUAAGAGAACUAGGUAAAUUAUCCGUGCUUUGUUCGGGAUUGAACUAUUUUUUUUAAGCUUACAUAUGAUUAUUUGGUAAUAUCCGUAUUUUCGAUACAUUCACUAUAUUGUCAAGAACAUUUUAUCUUAAGGAAAAGUGUUUCUCCAAAACUUUAAAGUGCUAUAUUUUUUUAAUUUUCGUUUUUGUUGCACAAAAAUUAUGAGUCAUAGAGAGAUUUUAAGUAUAAUAAAGAAGUCUAAGAAAAUCUCCAUGGAAAUAGUUGGUUAGAUGAUCAAAAUUUUCUAAAUUCCAGGAAGUUAUAAAGAACAACAUCAGACCUAAAGAAGAGACCGAAAAGCCUCUAACAAUAACACUCCCAUGUAAAGGGGAAUAUCACGUCUAUACAAGAACAAAAUUAACUAAACUCAAAUGAAGGACCUUCGACUCCUUUCUUAUGAACCUCCAUCAAUCACUUUUUUAUUAUAGUAUGUCGUAUCACGUCUAUGUCAUAAAUGUCCCUAAAAUUGUUAAAAUCGUAAAGCUUUUUCCUCAUUGUCUCAGAACAAUCAUUACUAUUGCUUAGGUAUCAUAUCACCGGACCCAACUUAUUUGGAAUUGAACAAUAGUUAUUAUUAUGGUUAUAGUAUGCAGUUACAAAGAAUGAAUGCAAUGAUUAACCAAGCAAUAUGUGACAUCUGAAUGGAACUGUUCACAACUGGAUAUUCUAAACCAAAAUUUUGAUACAUAAGAUAUUAAAAUCUCACAACAUAAUUUUGUGAGCACUUGAACUUACAAUUAUCCACAGAUAAUAAUAAAGGCAACCUUACUUUCCUAACAAUCAAUAAGAAAAAGGCAUGUUGCUUAACAUAUUUUUCAAAAAGAUAGUCUAUCGGGCUAUAUCUUACUCCCUCUCUCCUAUUUAUAUGAGUCGGUUUUUUUAGUCAGUUUUAAAAAAAGGGUACAUUUUUGUAUUUAGUACUAAUUUGCCUUUAAAAUUAAAAUGAUCUAUAAACACAAUCAUCUCCGACUUAUUUUAGACCACAAAUUUCAAAAACAAAAAACUUUUUUUCCUUUAACAUUAUGUCAAGUUAAACUACAUUGCAUAAAUUGAAACGAAUAACGUGUUUUUAAUUAUAAGUAAAUUCAAUUGAUUAUAAUAAGUAAUUUUUUUAUUUUGCAGGUCACCAUAACAUAUAUACUGAGAAUUUGAUUUUGUAAAUAAAAUAAAAUAAAAUAAACACACACCUUGACCUUAUUACACGCACCCUUAAACUAAAUUACAAGUCUGUUUCAAGUUUUAACGUAAUUCAAACGGUAAUCCACGUUGAAUGCGUGUGAUUUUUUUAACAAAAUUAAUUGGAUGUUAAUUUUUUUUAAAAUUUAUUUCUUCGAAUUACUUUUGUUAACACUUGAGGAUUUGAGAUCAAUAUGACGAUUCAUACAUACAAUUUUUUUCUUUUUCACUAAUAAUUGGGGAAUCGAGCAGAUUUAAUACAUGAAUAGCGAUUAGGGAUGACAAUGGGCGGAGCGGGUUAAAGUCUUGUCCCGCUAAAGUUUGCCUUGACUUGCUCUGUUUUGCUUUCUGCCCUGUUUCAAUUCUGCCUUAUCCUGUAUGUAACUUUGCAAUUAACCAUACGAGGGUUCAUAUGUUGCAUUAAACUAGUAGAUAAUAGAAGGUUCAUAUUGCCCAACUAACAAUAAAAUACAAUACAGUAUAUUAUGAGACAACCAUCCAAACAGAGUACAUAGGUUACUAAGUCAAAAGCUUAUUUAUUAUUAGUCACAAAACUAUAGAAUUCAAAUGUAACAGAUGCAUCCAUUGCUAAUGAAUUUGUCCAACUCUCCAGCAAACUCUGCACACACAAAUUGAGGUUUUUAAUAUUUAGGAAAAAUUAACAAAGUUAUCAUAUAAAUAGCUACAAAAAGUUUUGAUCCAUACCUGGUAUAUUACUAAUUCAUUCUUAAACCACGUCUUUGACGUCUCUUCUUUUGCCUUGUUCUCUUGUUAGCAGCAAUGUGUUGAGCAAUAUCUUCAGCAAAGUUCACAUACCAUUUUGGUUUUUCCAAUAGAAACAUGAGGCCUCCUAUCAACAAUCCAAAUAGCAUACCACAACCAUAACCUAUUACCACUGCUUCCCAUGUGAACCCGCUCAUAAAAAAUGAAUCAUCAUCAUCAUCAUCAUCCUGUUCAAGUGGUGACUCAUUUUUGUUUCCACAUUCUUUUGACAGUGGAAAUCCACAUAAAUCAGGAUUUCCACAAUAUGAAUCAUUUGGAAAUGUAUUGAACUGUUUCCCAAUGGGAAUGCGCCCAGCCAGAUGAUUGUAGGAAAGGUUUAAGACCUCAAGAAAUGUCAAACUCGACAAUGGACCUGGAAUUUCUCCAAUGAGUCUGUUCCAUGAGAGAUCUAAUGCUUCGAGCGCCUGCAACUUUGCAAAUUCUGCAGGAAUAUGACCACGGAAGCUGUUGUGAGACAGGUUGAGUAACACAAGUGAGCUCAGACUUCCAAUGGAAUUUGGAAUACCUCCUUCAAACCUGUUGCUUGAUAAAUCAACACUCGUCAUAAUUGACGUGAUUCUCAUAUCAUACUCAUUACCUUUUAUCACCAAACUAAUAUUGUAAAGGUAAUCCGUGUCAGUGCUUGUACUUGCUGUUUUUUCUUCAUCCACAUUCAUCAUGCCUCUGAAACUUUUGAAAAGAUUAGAUGACAAAGUUCCAGUGAACCCAUUGCAGGAAAGGUCAAAGAUCCGUAACUCAGGAAAUGGAAACUCAGACUCCAGAUCACCAAUUGGACCGUGAAAGAGAUUUGAUUUAAGAAUCAGAACUUGUAGGUUUGGAAGUUUCUCCAGCCAUAUGGGGAACGUGUCAUUUAACUUGUUGUUCCCCAAAUCAAGAGCUACCAAGAUUGUACAGUUAACCAAGGAUCGCGGGACUUGUCCCCUCAAUUGAUUGCCAUACACACCAAGAUAUUGUAACCCUCUAUGUAAGAAUCUUGGUAUCUCUCCAUGAAAAUUGUUCAUUCACAAGUCUAAAAUAAAAAUAUAGCUAUUGGGAGUACCUAAACAUCCUGGGAUUGAACCACUGAAAUUGUUCUGAGCCAAAAUGAGGACUUUAAGGUAAAUCAAGUCACAAAUGGAUUGAUGCAAAGGCCCUUGAAGAAAAUUGUUUUCCAAAUUAAGCGACCACAAAUCCGUUGAACUCCAUACUUGUUUUUCAAAGCCUGUGAGGAAGUUAUGAGAGAUAUCCAGGCUAUGAAUUCUCAAAGAUAAUAUCCAAUCAGGGAUUUCGCCGUACAACUGGUUGUAUGAAAGAUUAACAUCAGUGAAAUCUGAAGAACUUCUCUUAAGCUCAUUUGGCAAUCCAGUAAAUUGAUUGUGUUGAACAGAUAAAGAAAGCAAGGAUGGAAGAUGGAAUAACCAAAGGGGUGUUGUGCCAGUGAAAUAAUUGAAGGACAAAUCAAGAUUAUACAGCUCUUGAAGUCCGCUUAUAUUAGAGGGAAGCGGACCAGUUAGUGAAUUGUUUUGCAGCUCUAAACUCCCAAGGCGUGUCAAGGUUGCAAUUGAAUAGGGGAAUGGGCCAGUGAAAUUGUUUCUUUUAAAAUCUAAAGUAUCUAGCUCUGAAAAGUUGGCAAAGAUGUCUGGAAUCGGCCUUCAAAAUUAUUGAGAGAGAGAGAUAAGGAGUGAAGUUUGUUCAGCUUUCUGAACGAUGAGGGAACAUUUCCAGUGAAGCUGUUAAUUGAAAGCGUCAACUGUGUGAUUGCAGUGAGGUUGCCAAUGGAUUCCGGAAUCGAGCCUUGAAAAUGGUUGAAAGAGAGAUCUAACACAACGAGUUUGUUUAAUUUUGAGAUAGUUGAGGGAACAACUAGCUCUGAAAAGUUGGCAAAGAUGUCUGGAAUCGGCCUUCAAAAUUAUUGAGAGAGAGAGAUAAGGAGUGAAGUUUGUUCAGCUUUCUGAACGAUGAGGGAACAUUUCCAGUGAAGCUGUUAAUUGAAAGCGUCAACUGUGUGAUUGCAGUGAGGUUGCCAAUGGAUUCCGGAAUCGAGCCUUGAAAAUGGUUGAAAGAGAGAUCUAACACAACGAGUUUGUUUAAUUUUGAGAUAGUUGAG